rnacentral:rRNA from 1 species
CUCGUGAAUUCAUCUCCGGGGGUAGAGCACUGUUUCGGCUAGGGGGCCAUCCCGGCUUACCAACCCGAUGCAAACUGCGAAUACCGGAGAAUGUUAUCACGGGAGACACACGGCGGGUGCUAACGUCCGUCGUGAAGAGGGAAACAACCCAGACCGCCAGCUAAGGUCCCAAAGUCAUGGUUAAGUGGGAAACGAUGUGGGAAGGCCCAGACAGCCAGGAUGUUGGCUUAGAAGCAGCCAUCAUUUAAAGAAAGCGUAAUAGCUCACUGGUCGAGUCGGCCUGCGCGGAAGAUGUAACGGGGCUAAACCAUGCACCGAAGCUGCGGCAGCGAACGUAUCACUUAAAGCGAUUCAGCG